rnacentral:rRNA from 1 species
AGACUAUAUAGUAUCAGCUAGUUGGUAAGGUAAUGGCUUACCAAGGCUAUGACGCUUAACUGGUCUGAGAGGAUGAUCAGUCACACUGGAACUGAGACACGGUCCAGACUCCUACGGGAGGCAGCAGUAGGGAAUAUUGCGCAAUGGGGGAAACCCUGACGCAGCAACGCCGCGUGGAGGAUGACACUUUUCGGAGCGUAAACUCCUUUUCUUAGGGAAGAAUUCUGACGGUACCUAAGGAAUAAGCACCGGCUAACUCCGUGCCAGCAGCCGCGGUAAUACGGAGGGUGCAAGCGUUACUCGGAAUCACUGGGCGUAAAGGGCGCGUAGGCGGAUUAUCAAGUCUCUUGUGAAAUCUAAUGGCUUAACCAUUAAACUGCUUGGGAAACUGAUAGUCUAGAGUGAGGGAGAGGCAGAUGGAAUUGGUGGUGUAGGGGUAAAAUCCGUAGAUAUCACCAAGAAUACCCAUUGCGAAGGCGAUCUGCUGGAACUCAACUGACGCUAAGGCGCGAAAGCGUGGGGAGCAAACAGGAUUAGAUACCCUGGUAGUCCACGCCCUAAACGAUGUACACUAGUUGUUGGGGUGCUAGUCAUCUCAGUAAUGCAGCUAACGCAUUAAGUGUACCGCCUGGGGAGUACGGUCGCAAGAUUAAAACUCAAAGGAAUAGACGGGGACCCGCACAAGCGGUGGAGCAUGUGGUUUAAUUCGAAGAUACGCGAAGAACCUUACCUGGGCUUGAUAUCCUAAGAACCUUUUAGAGAUAAGAGGGUGCUAGCUUGCUAGAACUUAGAGACAGGUGCUGCACGGCUGUCGUCAGCUCGUGUCGUGAGAUGUUGGGUUAAGUCCCGCAACGAGCGCAACCCACGUAUUUAGUUGCUAACGGUUCGGCCGAGCACUCUAAAUAGACUGCCUUCGUAAGGAGGAGGAAGGUGUGGACGACGUCAAGUCAUCAUGGCCCUUAUGCCCAGGGCGACACACGUGCUACAAUGGCAUAUACAAUGAGACGCAAUACCGCGAGGUGGAGCAAAUCUAUAAAAUAUGUCCCAGUUCGGAUUGUUCUCUGCAACUCGAGAGCAUGAAGCCGGAAUCGCUAGUAAUCGUAGAUCAGCCAUGCUACGGUGAAUACGUUCCCGGGUCUUGUACUCACCGCCCGUCACACCAUGGGAGUUGAUUUCACUCGAAGCCGGAAUACUAAACUAGUUACCGUCCACAGUGGAAUCAGCGACUGGGGUGAAGUCGUAACAAGGUAACCGUAGGAGAACCUGCGGUUGGAUCACCUCCUUUCUA